rnacentral:misc_RNA from 1 species
GCUGAAGAAGGCAGGUGAAGCUCCACUGCGGCAUCAUCACCUGAAAGCGGCGCACGUCCCGCGGCAGGGCGAUCUCUACACCGGACGCAUCCCGAUGAUGUUCAACGAGGACAUGGUCGCGUACCGGCACAAGCCGGCGACGACGUACGGCGAGUACGAGUACUACCGGAACGGCGGCGCCGACGAGGUCAUCUUCGUCUUCCGCGGCAGCGGCACGCUCGAGUCGAUGUUCGGCAAGCU